GAUGAACGCUGGCGGCGUGCCUAAUACAUGCAAGUCGAGCGAACAGACGAGGAGCUUGCUCCUCUGACGUUAGCGGCGGACGGGUGAGUAACACGUGGAUAACCUACCUAUAAGACUGGGAUAACUUCGGGAAACCGGAGCUAAUACCGGAUAAUAUAUUGAACCGCAUGGUUCAAUAGUGAAAGACGGUUUUGCUGUCACUUAUAGAUGGAUCCGCGCCGCAUUAGCUAGUUGGUAAGGUAACGGCUUACCAAGGCAACGAUGCGUAGCCGACCUGAGAGGGUGAUCGGCCACACUGGAACUGAGACACGGUCCAGAAUCCGACGGGAGGCAGCAGUAGGGAAUCUUCCGCAAUGGGCGAAAGCCUGACGGAGCAACGCCGCGUGAGUGAUGAAGGUCUUCGGAUCGUAAAACUCUGUUAUUAGGGAAGAACAAAUGUGUAAGUAACUAUGCACGUCUUGACGGUACCUAAUCAGAAAGCCACGGCUAACUACGUG
rnacentral:rRNA from 1 species